CCUAAGCAAAGUUAAAAUUCUCUGGAAAGCAAACAAAAUUGAAAAUGAAAAAUAUAAAGAGAGAGGGGGGAAGGUGUAGAAUUACAAAAGGAGAAUGCAACCGUCAUUUCUUUCUCUCUCUUUUGUGUAAGCUUCUUCAUGGUUGUUGCUCCAAUUGUACCAGACAUUCAAUUCACACAACUGCCAUUCAACCCUUCAACUUUGAACAUUUUACAAUAUAUUUUAUUAACAAAAAGUAACUGGAAAGGAAUUCGGUUAGCUUGGUUCUCUUGUUUUGCUAUUUUAAAUAGGAGAUGACGUAGAGGCUUUGGAAACUAACACUGCUGCGGAAUUCAAAGAAACCCCAUUUUCAUAAGGAUGGAUGGUCUGAUAUCAGCAGAAGAAUAUUGACAAAUUCUGAAGACACAAUCAAUAAAGAAAGAAUUAAAAUUGGUCAAAAGGCUUCAAGCUAAAUUCCAAUAGCAUUUGCCUCUGUUUGCUAUUGCGGAAAGAAAGAAUCAAAACAAACCAGUACUUAACUUGAGACAACUGCAGCUAUUUUGUUUUGAUUGAAGCUUUGGUUUAGAUGGCGGAUUCGGCAGUGAACCCCAGGAUUGUGGGAGCAAGUGGGGUGGAGGAAACAUCACCCGAUUUGUUGAAGAACACGCCAUAUAACAUUGCCAGAUUGGAGGAUGUGAUAGAGCAUUGCAAGGGUCGUCAGAAGUAUCUUGCACAGACGAGGAGUCCUUCUGAUGGGGGUGAUGUCCGCUGGUACUUUUGCAAGGUUCCUUUGGCUGAAAAUGGUUAGUUUCUGCUGAAUUUUAAAGUCUAGUUUUAGUUUGGGAUUCCUUGCUUCCUUUCUCUUUUGGAUGUGUUCUUAGAGAGG